CUUUCAGGUUUCUGGAUCUCACUAAAUUCGAGGGAACUUGCUGAAAGGCAAGGCUGCAGGACUUGAAAACACCAAUCCAAGCCAAUGCUCUUGGUAUCUCCAGGCUUCUCCCAGCAGAACCAGGACUUGGCAAUGGCCAGUCAUUAGAUGCUGAUUGAAAUAGAGAAGUCUCUGGGGGGGAAAAAAGCCAACUCUGCUUCAGUUGGGUUGUCUUGAAGCACAUGAAUUUGGUACUUUUCAAAGGGAACUGAGUGGGAAGAUGCAGCCCACCACACGUCGUGCCCCCCAGCUGGUAAUGGACAUGGAGUGCAUGGCUGCAGAGUGCAGACUUGUGUGGUAAAGCUCACCAGGCUCCCACAGCAGGGCCCUUAGGUCUCAGCACCAGCUCUUCCACUCUGACAAUCCACUGGGACUGCAGGACAUGUGCUGAUGUAGGCAGACACUUCCUCUUCCAAAGUGUCCCCAUGAACUUUUGGAGCAUGCAACGGAGUUGGCUGAGUCUUGCUUUUCCACGGGAUAAAAAUUAGUUCCCUCCAACUUCUUGAAGAGUCGGGGAAUCAUAAAUUGGGAAUGGGGAAGUUGAUCUGCAUUUUUGAAAAUCCUUUAGUUUCUCCUUUUGAUUUUUUUUUAAUCACCCAAAUAUAUACAUGUAACAUUUGAGCCUUCAAAGUAGAAUUGAUGGGUACAUAGCCCUUGUCUGUUACUUUUCAAAAGCCUGAGCUAUUUAAUUCUCCUUAAAAUAAAAAUAGAAGUGGUAAAUUUUA